rnacentral:rRNA from 1 species
GUGGGGAAUAUUGCACAAUGGGGGAAACCCUGAUGCAGCGACGCCGCGUGAAGGAAGAAGUAUCUCGGUAUGUAAACUUCUAUCAGCAGGGAAGAAAAUGACGGUACCUGACUAAGAAGCCCCGGCUAACUACGUGCCAGCAGCCGCGGUAAUACGUAGGGGGCAAGCGUUAUCCGGAUUUACUGGGUGUAAAGGGAGCGUAGACGGAUGGACAAGUCUGAUGUGAAAGGCUGGGGCUCAACCCCGGGACUGCAUUGGAAACUGCCCGUCUUGAGUGCCGGAGAGGUAAGCGGAAUUCCUAGUGUAGCGGUGAAAUGCGUAGAUAUUAGGAGGAACACCAGUGGCGAAGGCGGCUUACUGGACGGUAACUGACGUUGAGGCUCGAAAGCGUGGGGAGCAAACAGGAUUAGAUACCCUAGUAGUCC